rnacentral:rRNA from 1 species
AUUGAACGCUGGCGGCAUGCUCUACACAUGCAAGUCGAACGGUAACAGGCCGCAAGGUGCUGACAAGUGGCGAACGGGUGAGUAAUGCAUCGGAACGUGCCCAGUCGUGGGGGAUAACUACUCGAAAGAGUAGCUAAUACCGCAUACGAUCUAUGGAUGAAAGCGGGGGACCGUAAGGCCUCGCGCGAUUGGAGCGGCCGAUGUCAGAUUAGGUAGUUGGUGGGGUAAAGGCUCACCAAGCCAACGAUCUGUAGCUGGUCUGAGAGGACGACCAGCCACACUGGGACUGAGACACGGCCCAGACUCCUACGGGAGGCAGCAGUGGGGAAUUUUGGACAAUGGGCGCAAGCCUGAUCCAGCAAUGCCGCGUGCAGGAAGAAGGCCUUCGGGUUGUAAACUGCUUUUGUACGGAACGAAACGGCUCUGGUUAAUACCCGGGGCUAAUGACGGUACCGUAAGAAUAAGCACCGGCUAACUACGUG